GAGCUUGCUCUUCUGGAUGAGUUGCGAACGGGUGAGUAACGCGUAGGUAACCUGCCUGGUAGUGGGGGAUAACUAUUGGAAACGAUAGCUAAUACCGCAUAAUAACAGUUGUUGCAUGACAACUGUUUGAAAGGUGCAAUUGCAUCACUACCAGAUGGACCUGCGUUGUAUUAGCUAGUUGGUGGGGUAACGGCUCACCAAGGCGACGAUACAUAGCCGACCUGAGAGGGUGAUCGGCCACACUGGGACUGAGACACGGCCCAGACUCCUACGGGAGGCAGCAGUAGGGAAUCUUCGGCAAUGGACGAAAGUCUGACCGAGCAACGUCGCGUGAGUGAAGAAGGUUUUCGGAUCGUAAAGCUCUGUUGUAAGAGAAGAACGAGUGUGAGAGUGGAAAGUUCACACUGUGACGGUAUCUUACCAGAAAGGGACGGCUAACUACGUGCCAGCAGCCGCGGUAAUACGUAGGUCCCGAGCGUUGUCCGGAUUUAUUGGGCGUAAAGCGGGCGCAGGCGGUUAGAUAAGUCUGAAGUUAAAGGCUGUGGCUUAACCAUAGUACGCUUUGGAAACUGUUUAACUCGAGUGCAAGAGGGGAGAGUGGAAUUCCAUGUGUAGCGGUGAAAUGCGUAGAUAUAUGGAGGAACACCGGUGGCGAAAGCGGCUCUCUGGCUUGUA
rnacentral:rRNA from 1 species